CCUACGGGUGGCAGCAGUGAGGAAUAUUGGUCAAUGGGCGUAAGCCUGAACCAGCCAAGUCGCGUGAGGGAAGACGGUCCUAUGGGUUGUAAACCUCUUUUGUCAGGGAGCAAUGCCGGCCACGCGUGGCCGGACUGAGAGUACCCGCGGAAAAAGCAUCGGCUAACUCCUGCCAGCAGCCGCGGUAAUACGGAGGAUUCGGGCGUUAUCCGGAUUUAUUGGGGUUAAAGGGUGCGUAGGCGGAUUUUCAAGUCCGCGGUAAAAUGCGGGGGCUCAACCUGGGCCUGGCGUGGAAACUGGCGUUCUUGAGUGGGCGAGAAGUAUGCGGAAUGCGUGGUGUAGCGGUGAAAUGCAUAGAUAUCACGCAGAACUCCGAUUGCGAAGGCAGCAUACCGGCGCCCGACUGACGCUGAGGCACGAAAGCGUGGGGAUCGAACAGGAUUAGAUACCCCAGUAGUC
rnacentral:rRNA from 1 species